AAAAAAAAAAAAACUAAUGAAAUAGGGAUCGUGGUGAAUCACUCAAAAGAUGGAAACUGAAAAAAUUGCAACACGUUCAAUGUAAAGCAGUUUCUUCAAAUUGAACUGCCAAUAUCUCCUUCCAUAAAUAUUUUCCCUGAACUUCUGUAAAUUUUAAAUUUUAAAUUUCUUUUAUGAUCAACUUUUAGAGUUUUGGUUUGCAGACGACCAUACUAUUACAGAUGGGGUUUUCGAUUUCUUCAUCAGAUAAGGAAAGUGGUAUCUCAAGACUUUUUACUUCUUCUGAAGAAUGGCGUCGGCAACAAUAUUUCUAAAUUUUCAUAUUUUUCAGAUCCCUUUUUUGAUCAAAUGGGUGGUUGAACUUUGAUCCAAAGGUGUUGCUACAUCGGCAAUUCGACUGCAGGCGGAUGUUGCAUAUUUUCAAGAAGAUUAAGCAAGACCCAUAAUUGGACGGAAAGUAUAAAGAC